rnacentral:ncRNA from 1 species
GUGUUGUAUGAAAGGAGAGAAGUUAGCACUCCCCUUGACAAGGAUGGAAGAGGCCCUUGGGCCUAAGAACACACAUACAGUUAAGGCAUCGCCACUUACUCAUGGCAUCUAAUAAUGGUUAUAA